ensembl:lncRNA
AUGCAGGGAUACACAUGGAGUUCAAAUCAGCAUCCUUCAACAAGGCACCAAGAUUGGCCUCCACCUCAAUACCAAGAACGACUUCCUCCUCAGUACAAAAAAUGGCAUCAACCUCAGUACCAGGAACAAUUCCCAUCUAAGUACCAUGCUGUCAAGAAUGAUCAACCCAAUGCGUUCCAGGUACAGCACAUCCCCCAACUUCAAAACACAUUACAGACAAGAUUUUCCAAUGGACAACAAGAGGCUGCAAAUCAGUGGAGCACUUGCUCAGGCAGUGUGGACCCUUCUGCUUUUCAACCAAAAUCAGAUGGAUAUAAUUGGUUGAAACGGACAAACCAGAUCCAUCCCCAAUACCCAUUUGCAGCCUCCAACACACAGCAGCACUGGCAAUGUCAUGAUUCCUCUCCACAGAACUACAGAAACACAGGCUGUAGUCAAGCUCAAAUGUACCAUGGCAGCUCUGUGGGUAACAGCAGGGGUUGGAGUUCACACAUUUCCAACAAUGGCAGCUCUUGUUCCAUGAACAACCAGCAACAACUUCAGCCUUCUAGAAUGGUUCCUCUUCAUCAUCACCAUCACCAUCAUCAUCGACAACAACAACAAGGGUUCUCUAGACAAUAUUCAGGCAAAAAACGAAGACGCCACACACAAUACUCUUCUUGGGCCCAUAACAGUGGAGUCCCCCAAAAAUCUCAGAGGAGAACUGAGGCCAAUCAUAACUCAUGCAACUCUACGACACCACCUUCUGGAGCACAGAGCAAUGUUUCAUUACCUUCCAAUAACAUAAACCAAAGUCCUGUUAACCAGAACCAGCCAGAACUGGGGUCAAAUGCAGGUCCAAUUGUAUCUGCGACCCAGUCUCAGAAUAAUCAAAAUGCUGAACAUCAGUCUCAGGGCACAAGCAAUGAGACAUAUAAAACUAAUCAGACUUCUCAAAUGACACAGGCCAGUGUAGUCCAGCUUCAGCCCCAAUCUAGAACUGAGUUUAACUUGUCAGUUUACGCUGACUCAGUAAUAUAUAGAUUACUGUGUUCAAAUGACAGUAAACAAGCAAAUAAUCGGCAAUCAGAUGAAAUUGCUCAGCAGAACACUCGUCCAGAACAGUCCGAAGUUUGUGCAACCAAAAGGACUGACAAUCACUCAAAGGAACCUUUUUCUGAACCAAGAGAACAAUGUACAGUUGAACCGCCCAGUAAAAGAAUGAAGUAUGUUGUGUUUCAGAGAGACUGUCAGAACAAAGAAACAAUAGUGUCCAAAGACAUAAAUAAUUGUGGGGUGCAAUCUGCCCAACCUGGUACCCAUCAGACAAGUAGCAAUGAGAACAGACUUAAAGGAACGAGCCAACACAACAUAGAGUACAGUACGAACCCAGCAGACUGUCUUGAAAUGGUCUUUGCAUCACAGAAAGCUACUCAGCAAACUCACAAGGCCAUUGCCAUCGUUCCACCCAUUUCCCACCAGAUCUCAAAAGCUGCACCAAUGGCUGAUACCAGCCCAAAAAAAGCUGACAGUCCACUGUUAAAGAUUGAUUCUGUUUGGUCACAUGUUGAAGAAUCUAACCAACAAAAAACUGUAAAUGACAAGCUGUCUGAAUCCUCCUCACAAAUGGCUCAACAGGACAACAAAAGCCUUGAAAAUGUGACUGCAGGCAACAUGGCAGACCCUGAUACAAGCUCUGCUAGCCCAGUUGAAUGUCAAAAUGAUGUGCAGCAAAGUGACUGUGAUUCAGAUGAUCCUUCAUUUGACUUGUCCAGUGUGCCAGUGAUUGAGUACACACUGGAGAAACUGAUGGAGUUAGUGAAGUCUAUAGAGAUGACAGAGUUAUCGGCCGGAUAUCCUGAGAAAUCUCAGAGCAUUUUACAAAGGAUCUUGAAACUCUACUGGAACGGGAAAGCUUCCAAUAUGUUGGAGCCUUUGAAAUCAUUUAGAGAGGCACUGCAGUUAUCCAUAGAAUAUGCAAAGGAUUAUGGGUCUGUGGUAUUUAAAAGCAUCGAAACUGAAAACCUGAAGAAGCUAGCUCAUUGCGACAUUCUCAAACAUGAGACGUAUUCAUGGUCAGAGGAGUUCAGAUCUUCUUGGUUAAAUGUUGAUGGACAGCCAGCUGAUAUUGAAAAGGUGCUUUCAGAACCACUGUUGGAUGACAUAACUGUGUAUAAGGCAACAUCACUGUCAUUUUCAGAUAACACUGUUGUCGCUUCAGCAAGUUUAGGUGUUCUUGUAGAAGAUAUUUCUGAUGAUGAAAAUACAGGCAACAAGGAGGCUCUUAAUAACACCUCAGACACCUGGCUUGUAGAAGAUAUUUCUGAUGAUGAAAAUACAGGCAAUAAAGAGGCUCUGAAUAACUCCUCAGACACCUGGCUGGUAGAGGAUAUUUCUGAUGAUGAAAAUUCUGGAAAUAAAGAUGUUCUUCUUAAUUCCUCAAACACCUGGCAAGUGGAAAACAUCUCUGAUAAUGAGAAUCCAGACAAUAUGGACACUCCUAGUAACUCCGCAGACAUAUGUGCGGUGGAAAAUAAAUCUACUGAUGAAAAUUCAAGUGAUGAUUCCUUGUUUAUGGGAAUCACGGUGCUAUCAUCUGAAGAUGCUAAAACAUUCUUUCAACAGCUUGAAAAGGAACCUGAAUGUACCAAAUCCCAAUCCAACUUUAAGUGCCCAGAUCUUAUAGUGUGCUUUGAUGCACCCAGUCAACUUAAACAGGAGUACAACAAAGCACAUACUUGCUCUCGCUGUGGUACCCAAAUUGUGAAAUCCAGUUCCACUAAUGUGACAAAGACGGACAGUGAUGCUGAUCUUUUCUGCCUCCAGUGUUGGGAACAGGCACCAAUGUUUGAGCUAGAAGAGGAGCCAUGCUCUCCUAUGACAGAUGAGGUUAAUCUUCUGGGCUCUGCUGCUAAAUCAAAUGAACUUGGUCAAAAUGAUAGUCUGCCAUGUCUCAAGUUGGAAGUCAAUGAGCCAAAUGUGGCUUCAACAAAGGAAUGCAUUGCAUAUGAAGGACUGAAAGGACAAAAAAAGGAUUGUCUGGUAAAAUCAGACCUGGGGGGAAAUUGUGGUCCACCAUCUCUUAAAAUAGAAGUCAAGGAGUUAAAUGCACCCAAUGAAGAAUGUAUUGCGGAUGAAGGACUGGCAGGACAAAAGAGUGUGGUUUUGGUAAAAUCAGAACAGGGACACAAUUGUAGUCCGCCGUCUCUUGAACUGAAAUUCAAGAAGCCAAAUGUUUCUCCACUGGAGACAUGCAUUGUAGAGGAAGGAGUGACGGGACAAAAAAGAGUCAGUAUGUUAAAAUCAGAACUGGUAAAAAAACGUAGUCCACCAUCUCUUGAACUAGAAAUCAAGGAGCCAACAGUUGCUUUGACAACAGAAUGCAUUGCAGAUGAAGGACAAAAAAGUGACAGUGUAAUACAAUCAGAACUGAGACAAAAAUGUAGUCUGCCAUCUCUUGAACUAGAAGUCAAGAUGCCAAAAGUUUCUUUUCCAGAGGAAUGCGUUGCAGAUGAAGGACUGAAAGGACUUAAAAGAGACACUGAGGCAAAAUCAAAAAUGGGACAAAAUCAUUGUUCACCAUCUCUUGAACUGAAAGUCAAGGAGUCAAAUUUUGCUUUACAAAAGUCAUGCAUUGCAGAUGAAGGACUGAUAGGUCAAAAAAGCGACUGCAUGAGAGAAUCAAAAGGACAAAAUUGUAAUCCACCAUGUCUUAAACUAGAAAUCAAGGAGCCAACUGGUACUUCAGCAGAGGACUGCACUGAAGAUAAAGGACUUACAAGACAAAAAAUUGACAGUAUGGUAAAAUCAGUGACUGAGACGAUGUCUGAAAAUCAGGGCUUAGCUGAACGGGAGCUAACCAAGAUUCAACCAAAUAAGCAGAAAAAUGAAAAAACUGAGAAAAUUAGAGUACCCAAGCCCAAAUCGUUCACGCAAUGCAGCAAACUAUUUCCAAAGAAAACUGCAUUUUCCAAGCAUAAGCUAAAAUCUGGUAGCACUGGUACUGGUUCUGAUGAUUAUGUGCUUUUCACUCCAGAUAUUAUAGUUAAAAAGAACUGGCCACAAAAGAAAAAUCAACCUGGUGUAUCUGCAAACAAACGCCGUAGUGGUCAGAGUCAGAACUGCAGUAAAGUGAAUAAAUUCAAAGAACACAGGAAAGAAAGACGAGAUAAUCCUGACAGAACCUCAACAAACCAUAGAGAAAACCUCCAGACAGUGACAGAGAAAGUGUCUGGUCAAUCAAGUGACACACCACCCCACGGAUCAGAAAAGAAGCUGGAGCUGCAUGGUAUUCUGUUAGUGAAUAAAAUGAAAAGAACUGAACCAAAAAAAGUGAGAUUUGAUUUAUAUGGGUCCAAAACAGAAAAGCAGUACUAUGCCCCAGAGCGGCAUUUUUCAGCCCCUGCUACCUUAACAGUCUCUGAUUGCAAAGACUAUGCCGAUGUGCUUUCUGCUAAACAAAAAGUUCACAACCAAUGGAGUAGCACCUUCAUACCUAAAACAAAGAAGACUUGUCCUCCCAGGUCACCACAGGAGGGCUCACCACAGAAGAAAACCCCACAGAAACCUCAGGACCUCUUAAAGUCAAAUAUGAGUGCAUUAAGAAACCAUUUGACUCACAGAGCCAAGCUAUUAUACAGCAGUGAAAGAGAGACAAGUCACUUAAGAAAACCAUAUUUUCAUCAAAAGCUUACGAAAUCACUAAGUAGCUAA